GUUUUUGAAAAACAUCACCUAGUUCUCAGUGCUAGAUCAAAACUGAUGCCUAGAUCAUUGGAAAUUAAUAUCAAACAGGCACUUGCAUAAUACGAAUACUGAACUGAUGAAUAAAUAGUUUAUGUUUGAAUGCCUACAUAAUGCCAGAUGUAAUUGUUCAAAUUCUAUUCAUUAUCACAUAUUUAUUUGGGAGAAAUGUAUAUCACGUUCUCGUAUGAUGCUUCAAUUGAAGAUGCUGCGUGAUUUUCACCUAUCCCAGAAUUACCAAGCAAUUUAUUGAUUUGUUAAGACUGCUUCUUCUUUCAUUGUUAUAAUGAGUGAUCAAAACUGUCAAACAAAGGAGUUUUUUCAACAUCAAAACCUAAUAUUUGAUUACACUGAGCGAUCUAUUGUUAAUUUGUUUAGUUUAAUGUUGCUACUAUGCCCUUUUAUGCCUCAAACUGUUUAUUUCAACCAAAGUGAAUGGUUCGACGGCCUAUCGAAGCAAAAAAUUACUUUCCCUACCCCCAAAUAGCUAUAAGAGCUUCAAUAAAGUAUAUACCAGCUUAAGGAGAUAGCUCUGGUAGUAUUGAUGAUUUUUUGAUGCACUUUCUGACUUGUGCCCAGGAUGUCAACUGUUAAACUUCAAGAGGUUGUUUCAUAUUCAAAUCUCAUCCAUAUAUUUUGAAGGCGAUAAAUGGAAACAUGUUCAGAUGAACGCAUUGUAUAGGAUGAAAAAAAAAUUAUUCAUGAGUAUGAUACCUAUGACAAUCACAAAUGUUACGAUAAUUCUAUUCUAUUAUUUGCUAAUCAGUGAAUUCAAGAAUACGUAAUAGAAAUUUGCCGUUUAGAAUCGAGUACACAUUCCAUAUGGCAGAAUCUAGUCUAAGAAGUUUUUUUGAAAAUGUACGAAUAUAACAGACCUGAUCUUCACAAUGUUGGUGUAGGUUAGUUACCCCGAUGACAUAAGAUCAAUACUUAUAUUUGCUAGGCGCGUGUUGCGCUAGCAAUACGAUUAUCUAAAAUAUUUUUCUCAAAAUUAGAAUUAAUGAGAAAGUUAAUGAUUUGAACACACACAUUAAUAAGAAACAAUUAAUUCCAGUUAUUCAGAGCAAGGAACCAAAAUUAUACCAUCACGGUUCAAAAUUUUCAUUAAAAAGAUUCAAUUCAAACUCACCCUUGAUUUUUUCCAUAUUUGUAGCCUGGUGAUCCAAGUUUGUUGUGGGGUCCUGAGCCUGUCAUCACCCUUCGGUAAAUAAUACGUGGACUCCCCCAUGUCUACACCCUGUAUGUCGCACAUUUUCAAAAUCG